UCGUUACAGACCGAAGACACACCAGAAGCUCAGCUCACACAACAAUGCAAGAGGCAGUAAGAGCGCCUGCCUCACAGAGUUGUGAAGAUACUUCAAUGAGAUCUUGCUGGUCAAGUGCCACCAGGCCUGGCUUCAAGAGAACACGGCUGCUCCGACUACUCAAGUCAGAUUGGUCAAUGCUCGGGGAAGACAAAGUCUUCGAGAACCAGUGUGCAUUUACUCCUACAGGACAGCGCAAUUUAGACCAGCAAUAUUUCUAGUCAAUGUACACAUGUGGCUGAUGGUGAGAGGGAUUCUAACGCCUUGUGGAGACUGACAAACCCCUCCUUUCUGUCUUGUUUCUUUUUUUCUUAGCACUUCUUGCUGAAGGAACUAGCUGUAGAGAGCUCACAGUAGGAACCGCCAGCUACUGCACUGUUGCUCAUGCUUUACUCCAAGUGUGUACACACACACACACACACACACACACACACACACACACGGCAGAGAGAGCAAGCAAGGACCUUGGAGGUAUCUGUGUGAUCUUCCCAAGCCAGUCUGCUGCCAGCAUGGAAUUUCUUUGAAGUCUUCUGUUUUAUCCUAAAAUUUAUGGAGAUUUUACAUUCUACUCCAAAAUACAUCCAUGUUUGUUUGAAUAUUGAAAGUGUUUUGGAU